GACGAACGCUGGCGGCGUGCCUAAUACAUGCAAGUCGAACGCUGAAGGAGGAGCUUGCUUCUCUGGAUGAGUUGCGAACGGGUGAGUAACGCGUAGGUAACCUGCCUGGUAGCGGGGAAUAACUAUUGGAAACGAUAGCUAAUACCGCAUAAGAGUAGAUGUCGCAUGACAUUUGCUUAAAGGGUGCAAUUGCAUCACUACCAGAUGGACCUGCGUUGUAUUAGCUAGUUGGUGAGGUAACGGCUCACCAAGGCAACGAUACAUAGCCGACCUGAGAGGGUGAUCGGCCACACUGGGACUGAGACACGGCCCAGACUCCUACGGGAGGCAGCAGUAGGGAAUCUUCGGCAAUGGACGGAAGUCUGACCGAGCAACGCCGCGUGAGUGAAGAAGGUUUUCGGAUCGUAAAGCUCUGUUGUAAGAGAAGAACGAGUGUGAGAGUGGAAAGUUCACACUGUGACGGUAUCUUACCAGAAAGGGACGGCUAACUACGUG
rnacentral:rRNA from 1 species